CUCAGAGGCGACUGCUUCAGAAAUCCAAUUAUCUCUGAAUCCUAAUCAUCUCAAUCGAUCAUCUCCAUCAGUAAAUGUCCAAUCAGCCGUCACGGUGCAUUCCUGCGUCCUGUGGUUCACUGAGAACAAUCUUCAGUUGUCUGAUGCUUCCUUCGCUUUUGUCUCUCGCCUGAUUUUCAUCACCUUGGUCAGAAACUUCCUCUGAGAGGAUCUGACUGUCAGACGAGAAGCGAGGCAGGUUUUUCACAGGCACUCCAGUCUUCAGGGGCGAAGGCCUCCGAGGCUCCGAGGGGUGGACCGACAAGCAGAGGAAGGAAAAGAGAAGAGGAGGAGGAGACAAAACCCAUCUGCACAAACGAAGAAGAAGAGGAAAAACACAAGGAGGAGAAUGAAAUUAUUUCCAGGAAAUUCAAAGUGAAAAUAUGAUGAAGAGGAGCAGAAAGGGAAGAGGAGAGAAGGUGAUCUUUCUCCAGGAUGAAUCUGGAGAAUAAAGAGCGGGCCGACGCUGAAGAGGGAAAAGAGUUGAUUUAAAGCGAGGCUGUAAAUGUGGGAGCAGAGGUCAGCAGAGACGCACUCCUGUUUCCACUUUUUCCGAGGCUCAGCGCUGCAGCGAGUGUGUGUGUUACAGCCCCUCUGUAUUGUGUGUCAAGUGUUUCCUUUUGUGUGUGUGUGUGUGAGACGCUGGGAGCACUCAGCACACACACAUUUGCAUUUAAAUAGCGACAUCAACCAGCGUUCACGGCACAAACCGGCGGGUUUCCCAGAUGUCACAGCAAAGUCAGAUGGCCCAGCUGUCUCUCUCUCACACACACACACACACACACACACACACACACACACACACACACACACACACACACACACACACACACACACACAGCUGACUCUGUAAAAAACACUCAUUGGUUCAUUUGUUUAGCCAAAACUACAACUGAACCUGCAGCCUGAGCCGGUCUGAUCACCUGAGUGUUUCCACCAGCAGCUCUCCUUUACAG
ensembl:lncRNA